rnacentral:snRNA from 1 species
AUACCUUCUCGGCCUUUUGGCUAUGAUCAAGUGUAGUAUCUGUUCUUAUCAGUGUGACAACUGAUAUGGAUC